UGGAUGAAGAGCUCAGUGAAAGGAGGUAAGC
rnacentral:piRNA from 1 species